rnacentral:rRNA from 1 species
GACGAACGCUGGCGGCGUGCUUAACACAUGCAAGUCGAACGAAGAGCGAUGGAAGCUUGCUUCUAUCAAUCUUAGUGGCGAACGGGUGAGUAACGCGUAAUCAACCUGCCCUUCAGAGGGGGACAACAGUUGGAAACGACUGCUAAUACCGCAUACGAUCUAAUCUCGGCAUCGGGGAAAGAUGAAAGGUGGCCUCUAUUUAUAAGCUAUCACUAAAGGAGGGGAUUGCGUCUGAUUAGCUAGUUGGAGGGGUAACGGCCCACCAAGGCGAUGAUCAGUAGCCGGUCUGAGAGGAUGAACGGCCACAUUGGGACUGAGACACGGCCCAGACUCCUACGGGAGGCAGCAGUGGGGAAUCUUCCGCAAUGGACGAAAGUCUGACGGAGCAACGCCGCGUGAGUGAUGACGGCCUUCGGGUUGUAAAGCUCUGUUAAUCGGGACGAAAGGCCUUCUUGCGAACAGUUAGAAGGAUUGACGGUACCGGAAUAGAAAGCCACGGCUAACUACGUG